rnacentral:rRNA from 1 species
CGUGGUAACCUAACCCAUCAGAGGGGGAUAACACUUGGAAACAGGUGCUAAUACCGCAUAACAGUUUAUGCCGCAUGGCAUAAGAGUGAAAGGCGCUUUCGGGUGUCGCUGAUGGAUGGACCCGCGGUGCAUUAGCUAGUUGGUGAGGUAACGGCUCACCAAGGCCACGAUGCAUAGCCGACCUGAGAGGGUGAUCGGCCACAUUGGGACUGAGACACGGCCCAA